rnacentral:rRNA from 1 species
UACCAGCACCCCGAGUGGUCGGUACGAUUAUUGGGCCUAAAGCAUCCGUAGCCGGUUUUACAAGUCCUCCGUUAAAUCCAGCUGCUUAACAGAUGGGCUGCGGAGGAUACUAUAAGACUAGGAGGCAGGAGAGGCAAGCGGUACUCAGUGGGUAGGGGUAAAAUCCUCUGAUCCAUUGAAGACCACCAGUGGCGAAGGCGGCUUGCCAAUACGCGCUCGACGGUGAGGGAUGAAAGCUGGGGGAGCAAACCGG